rnacentral:rRNA from 1 species
GAUGAACGCUGGCGGCGUGCCCAAUACAUGCAAGUCGAGCGAACGGACGAGAAGCUUGCUUCUCUGAUGUUAGCGGCGGACGGGUGAGUAACACGUGGAUAACCUACCUAUAAGACUGGGAUAACUUCGGGAAACCGUAGCUAAUACCGGAUAAUAUUUUGAACCGCAUGGUUCAAAAGUGAAAGACGGUCUUGCUGUCACUUAUAGAUGGAUCCGCGCUGCAUUAGCUAGUUGGUAAGGUAACGGCUUACCAAGGCAACGAUGCAUAGCCGACCUGAGAGGGUGAUCGGCCACCCUGGAACUGAGACACGGUCCAGACUCCUACGGGAGGCAGCAGUAGGGAAUCUUCCGCAAUGGGCGAAAGCCUGACGGAGCAACGCCGCGUGAGUGAUGAAGGUCCUCGGAUCGUAAAACUCUGUUAUUAGGGAAGAACAUAUGUGUAAGUAACUGUGCACAUCUUGACGGUACCUAAUCAGAAAGCCACGGCUAACUACGUG